UACGUAGGUCCCAAGCGUUGUUCGGAUUCACUGGGCGUAAAGGGUGCGUAGGCGGUCGGGUAAGUCUGAUGUGAAAUCUCACAGCUUAACUGUGAAACUGCAUUGGAUACUAUCCGGCUAGAGGAAUGGAGGGGAGACUGGAAUACUUGGUGUAGCAGUGAAAUGCGUAGAUAUCAAGUGGAACACCAGUGGCGAAGGCGAGUCUCUGGACAUUACCUGACGCUGAGGCACGAAAGCCAGGGGAGCAAACGGG
rnacentral:rRNA from 1 species